CUUGCAUGAGGGCAGAUGUAACAUAUUUACAGGCAGCCAUGAAUUGAAAAUCCUAUUUAACAGCGCAAUUUAUCUACAAAAUACAAAUAAUGUUCGUCUUAUCGGAGACUGUGUGGCAUCUGAAGCACGCGCGCAAGGAAGUGCCGCACAUAAACAGCAUAUCAGCACCAAACCAAGGCCACUAUCAAACCAGUACAUCCAGCUGAUGGACCGGCACAAGCAGCCUGCGCUGGGCGACGCAUUUCUACGUGUGAGAUUUUAAUUAAAGCGAGCACAGAUGUAAACGCAAUAAAAACGGGCAUAAGUUCCAGGCAGGUUCAGAGGACGCAGGAUGGGAGCUUUUUUGUCUGUUGAUUAAAUGUGCCUACUGAUAAGAGCAAGCCCACAUGGAAAAGAGUUUGACAGACAUUUGAACAAAGCAAAUAUAAAAUGCAAAGACUCAAUUUCUUUGUGGUCCAGCAAAGCUUAGACUGGAACACAGUAAUGCAAAUCGGGAAAGGAGCUGCAAUCAUAGGGGCGAGAUAUGGUCAGGACACGGCCUGGCUGCGCACAAGCCCGACACUGUCUCUGUCAUUUGAUAGUCAAAGCAGCUCGCUAACUUUCCUCUCUCUUUGUUCAUUUACAGUUUUCAGGGAAAUCAGGGGUGGAAAACAGUUGGGAUGAAUCGGUGCCCCUUUUUUUUUUUUUCCUUUUUCCUCUUUUUUUUUUUUUUUUCCUCUUUGAACUCAACACCGAGCCUUUUUCUACCAUUAAAGAACCCACAGCAGUUAAAUUGAAAUGAUCCCCCAUAAGGCGCUGGGACUCACAUAAACUUCUAUCGGUUAAGCCAGAUGCAAAUCGAUACAUGCCUCGCAGUAACUGUGGCACAAAAUUGUAACCCAUGAGUUUCCCAUUUCCCUAAACAUCCCCACUCUUGCUUCGGUUGCUCAACACGUAAUUCUCAGGCAACGCCAACAGAAAUAAACUGCUGAAAAUAGCAAAGGUCGGAAGGUCGACUCAGGAAACAAAGAGUCGCACUGAAGUUUCCUCUCCAAUUCGGGGCAACUGAGGACACUUGCCGUUGUUUUAGGGAAACUUGUUACAUGUGUAUAUGGGAGGUUACUGGGUGAUCAGUUUACAACUGAUAGUGAUACCAACAAUAAUUAUCUUUAUCGUAACACGGCCUGGAAUAACAGGUGAGAGAUCUGGCUACAGCCCAGCUCUACAUGUCCUCGAAAAUUACAUACAGUUCAUAGAUCUGAGCAAGUGAGAACUCUGAAUCGCCCGGGGCGUGCAGGCAUGAGCAGGUACCGAUAGAAAAGAUAAACCAGUGAUGCUAAUUUAUUGUGAUAUCCUCUUAAAUUCAUUUGUUUUUCCAGUUGGCUUAAACGCUGCCGCUGCCAGUUGGGGUUUCAUGUAAAUGGGAACGAGAUGAAUGAGCGCAGUAUUCUGAGGCAGAGCGUGAGAUGAGGUCGCUGCGGACAGCUGGGCAGGGAUGUGGCCGCCGCCGCCGCCGCUCGAGCUGGCUGCUCCGCUCUGAUAAGAGGUUAUCGAGAUGAAAGGAGGAGGCCAGGAAUUAGGCUGCGGGCCCGCCGCUCGCUGUCGCACGGACAUGCCUCGAGGAGGCCCCGGUCGCGCCGCGUUGCUCAAGCCCGCAUGUGCAACGGCGACGGACACAAGCGCUCGUCCUGUUGACAGCCUCUCAACAAAAGCAGUGCGGAGCAUCUCGCUGGACAGUUGGGAAGUUGUUGUGGCUGGGUGAUGGAUGGCAUUGUGUGUCAACAGUGGAGUUUGAGGACAGCUUUCUAAUUCCCAAGAAGCUGGCUUCUGUGAAGGCGGUGGUCUUAUCUCUGCAAUGCAGGACUGCAGUAAUAGUGCUAUACCCAGGAGAGCACUCUCUCUCUCUCUCUCUCUCUCUCUUUCUCUCUCUCUCUCACACACACACACACACCCACACACACAAAGAGACACACACAACCCCAUAAAUGCAUACACGGUCCUGCCCAGCGAUACGUUUUCAGUGGUUUGAUUACAUUUUUAGUGGCUUUCUUGGCACAUGACUUGUUUCAAGACGUUAUGAGUGUGUGUCCCUGUAAUGACUAAUAAAGCACAGCACUCCGAAGCCACUAAUUACGAUAUUGUGGCUUUUUUCCGUAGCCGAGUUUGUGUAAUCUCAGUUACGCCGCUGCUACUCUGACGGUCUAAACAGAUUUGCCCGAAUGUGAGCAGUUUUUUGAUGUUUGUUUGUUGUUGUUGCUGAGUCAGUGAACUUUUUAUUUGAGCUUAAACUUAAGAACUUUUCUGGACGCCCGGUCUUAUUGUCAUGUAUUGUCAUGUGGUGUGUGUGACUGUGCGCAGCAGUAAUUUUUUUUUAAUAUUAUUUGUAAUGUUACACUUCAGGGCUUUGAUGGCGGAAGCGUCACUUUACACAUGAACUGACUGACAGUAAUUCGCUGUAUACUGUGUAUAAGCUGCUUUCUCAUUGCUUAAAUGUUUAAAUGUAAUAAAAUCUGCUUUAUUUGCCA